UACGGAGGGUGCAAGCGUUAUCCGGAUUCACUGGGUUUAAAGGGUGCGUAGGAGGGCAGUUAAGUCAGUGGUGAAAUCUCCGAGCUUAACUUGGAAACUGCCGUUGAUACUAUCUGCCUUGAAUAUUGUGGAGGUGAGCGGAAUAUGUCAUGUAGCGGUGAAAUGCUUAGAUAUGACAUAGAACACCAAUUGCGAAGGCAGCUCGCUACACAUAUAUUGACGCUGAGGCACGAAAGCGUGGGGAUCAAACAGG
rnacentral:rRNA from 1 species